GUGUGUCUUGCACUGUUCUUAGCACUCUGCAUGUGUCAGCGCCUUUUCUCCUCUCUGCCCACCUGGGAGGCAGGUGGUACUCAUCUUUCUUUUACAGAUGAGAAAGCCAAGGCAGAGUAAAGAAAUGACAUUCCCAGGUAACACAGCUGGUAAAUGGUACAUGACCUCACCCCAGGCUAGCUGAUUGGAGGGUUCAUGCGCUUAACAACUUCCUUCUACUGCUUCUCUGCAGAACAUGGCCCUAACGGUGGGCAGGGUGAAACUGAGGAACACAGCAGGAAGCUGAUUUAGGCAAACUCAGCAGGAAGUGUUCCCUGUGAACCCAUGAGACUUCAUCCCUGCGUUGGUCUGGCUGGCUUUCCCUGUGAGAAUCAGGUUCCUCCUGAAGAGCUGAAGCUCCAUUCCAGCUCUAGACUUCUCCUUGCUUUCAGACUUCAAGAUGAGAAGCAUUUUUCCAGUCCACAAGUGUUAGAGGACGCUGCCAAUGAUGUGUGUUUUGCCCAGGCUGGACUCAGCUUCGUCUUGCCUGGCGAAGAGGCAGUGCUGUGCCAGGAAAUAGCACCCAGGCAGGACUCCAGGGUGGGGACCGCUAAUCUGGCUUUGCCACAGGUGAGUUAAAACCCAUUUGAGAAAGUCAUGUAUCCCAACCUGGUUUUCUAGGUUGCAAGUUGAGCUUAAUAAUUGUAGCCCUUCUGCUCUGAUGAGGCAAUUGGAAAGAUGAAGGAGAUAGCAAGCAUGUAUAUUUAAAGGGAAGGUGGUUGUCACUCUUUAUUUCUUCACUCAUUCAUCCAUCAAAUAUUUCACAGCAAUGCACUGGGCUAGCUAAUGCAUGGAUGAAAGGAUGAUGGGAUGGGCACUGUAUAUCCUUCCCACCCUCACGUGUCUGGUAGGCUUGAUGCACAUCAAUGAUGAUGGCUGAGAGGUGCAAGGUUACAUAAGAGAGAUGCAGCACUGGGCUGUGGGGUUCAGAAGCGGGAUGGUCUCAUCUGGGAGGCUCCUGAGAUAAGGGAAGAUGUUGCCUUGAGGAAGCCAGACCUAACCAAAACCAGUGCCUCAGGGGUC
ensembl:lincRNA